AACGAACGCUGGCGGCAUGCCUAACACAUGCAAGUCGAACGAGACCUUCGGGUCUAGUGGCGCACGGGUGCGUAACGCGUGGGAACCUGCCCUUAGGUUCGGAAUAACUCCCCGAAAGGGGUGCUAAUACCGGAUAAUGUCUUCGGACCAAAGAUUUAUCGCCUUUGGAUGGGCCCGCGUUGGAUUAGCUAGUUGGUAGGGUAAAAGCCUACCAAGGCGACGAUCCAUAGCUGGUCUGAGAGGAUGAUCAGCCACACUGGGACUGAGACACGGCCCAGACUCCGACGGGAGGCAGCAGUGGGGAAUAUUGGUCAAUGGGCGAAAGCCUGAUCCAGCAAUGCCGCGUGAGUGAUGAAGGCCUUAGGGUUGUAAAGCUCUUUUACCCGGGAUGAUAAUGACAGUACCGGGAGAAUAAGCUCCGGCUAACUCCGUG
rnacentral:rRNA from 1 species